AUACGGAGGGUGCAAGCGUUAAUCGGAAUUACUGGGCGUAAAGCGUACGUAGGCGGUUAUUUAAGUCAGAUGUGAAAGCCCCGGGCUUAACUUGGGAACUGCAUUUGAAACUGGGUAACUAGAGUUUAGUAGAGGGGAGUGGAAUUUCAGGUGUAGCGGUGAAAUGCGUAGAGAUCUGAAGGAACACCAGUGGCGAAGGCGACUCUCUGGACUAAAACUGACGCUGAGGUACGAAAGCGUGGGUAGCAAACAGGAUUAGAAACCCUAGUAGUCC
rnacentral:rRNA from 1 species